rnacentral:rRNA from 1 species
GUGGGGAAUAUUGGACAAUGGGCGAAAGCCUGAUCCAGCCAUGCCGCGUGUGUGAAGAAGGUCUUCGGAUUGUAAAGCACUUUAAGUUGGGAGGAAGGGCAGUAAGUUAAUACCUUGCUGUUUUGACGUUACCGACAGAAUAAGCACCGGCUAACUUCGUGCCAGCAGCCGCGGUAAUACGAAGGGUGCAAGCGUUAAUCGGAAUUACUGGGCGUAAAGCGCGCGUAGGUGGUUUUGUAAGUUGGAGGGGAAAUCCCCGGGCUCAACCUGGGAACUGCCUCCAAAACUGCAUGACUAGAGUACGGUAGAGGGUAGUGGAAUUUCCUGUGUAGCGGUGAAAUGCGUAGAUAUAGGAAGGAACACCAGUGGCGAAGGCGACUACCUGGACUGAUACUGACACUGAGGUGCGAAAGCGUGGGGAGCAAACAGGAUUAGAUACCCCAGUAGUCC